GAUGAACGCUGGCGGCGUGCUUAACACAUGCAAGUCGAACGGAAAGGCUCCUGCUUGCCGGGGUACUCGAGUGGCGAACGGGUGAGUAACACGUGGGUGAUCUGCCCUGCACUUCGGGAUAAGCCUUGGAAGCUGGGUCUAAUACCGGAUAGGACGUUGGUUUGGAUGCCGUUGUGGAGAGUUGUUCGGUGUGGGAUGAGCUCGCGGCCUAUCGGCUUGUUGGUUGGGUAGUGGCCUACCAAGCCGUCGACGGGUAGCCGGCCCGAGAGGGUGUACGGCCACAUUGGGACUGAGAUACGGCCCAGACUCCUACGGGAGGCAGCAGUGGGGAAUAUUGCACAAUGGGCGCAAGCCUGAUGCAGCGACGCCGCGUGGGGGAUGACGGCCUUCGGGUUGUAAACUCCUUUCGCUAGGGACGAAGCGCAAGUGACGGUACCUGGAGAAGAAGCACUGGCUAACUACGUG
rnacentral:rRNA from 1 species